CUCGCACCAUCUUUUGCACAAAAAUGGGCACCCCUAGUGCCUAGUGUUACUUACUCAAAAAUUAAUCAAAAUAAUUUCAUAAGGAACCAAGCAUAUAACAUCCACUUUAGAAGACACAUUGUGCCAAGCCAACUCAUCUGGAGUGGUUGGCAACAAUAAUUUUGUCAUUGCUCGGAAAACACAAAAUAUGCUUGCUUGAUCCAAGUGGCACCAACCUUCCUAGAUUGACCAAAAUAUAU
rnacentral:lncRNA from 1 species